UCUUCCUACAUCCCAAAGAUGUGUACAUGAUAUUCAUAGACAUAUCUAAAUUGUCUCAGUCUGAGUAAGCGCAGGUGUGGGUGUGAUGGAAGGACAUCCUGUCUAGGGUAGGAUUCCACCUUGUGUCCUCAGCUGCCAAAAGAGGCGCUGGCCACCCAAGACCAGGAACUGGAUUUCCAGAGUUCCAAGAUGGUGGAGGAAUAAAUGGAAGCUAUACUAACCUCCUCCCAGGACAAAUCCGGAAUUACAACUAAAUUGUACAUAAUUCAUCAAGAAUGACCAACUGAACACUAGCUGGAGAGAAGCUUUAUAACCAUGGCCAGAUAGAAGAAACCACUUCACCAUGAUGGCUCCAACUCUCCCUCCAGGGAAGCUGUGCGUAUGAAGCUGAGAGAGAGAAAAGUGAGACAUACUGAAAUGCCCCAAAUGGCUGUCCUCUUCUGGGAAGCUUGUACACUUGUUCCCAAAAUGCUGCUCUUACCCAUCAAGAAAAUGUGUGAACUGGCCUGCAUUUCAGUCUCCCUGCUCUGCAGCUGGAAGCUUGAAGGAAAUUGGCUCACCUCUUUCUGAGCCUCAUUUUUUUCCUUUGAAAAAUGAAGUUAAUAACAAGGACCUCAGGCCAGCAGAUUGGGAAUAGCCAUGUGAUUAUAAUGCUGGAAGGACUGGGGAAGACAAGAUGUGAGACAAGGGCAGGAUUUGGGUUGAUGACAGAGGACAAGGAGAACAUCAUCUGGAUUUCUUUCCAAGUACCCAAAUCUUUAGAGGUCAGUCUAUCAUCGGAGCUGAGAGAUGGGUUCUGCAAUUGGCCGGCUUGGGUUUGACUAACUAAGCAGAGGACAGGAAGAACACAUGCCCAGAGCCUUAUGCUGCUCACCUGGUGAGAUCCAACAAUGGGCAGAUCAGCUCCCUGAAGUUAUUGCAGGAAGCUGCCGCUGGCUUUUCUGUGAGAAUUACAGUUGCUGGCAAUUCAGAGUGUACUGAGCAGAGUCUUUUGUUGCAUCUUUUAUCAAGGCUGAUGGCAGCUCAGUCUUACUCAGUAACCUCAUUAUAGAAAAUUCAUUUCACAGAAUUUCACAUUGCUUUUUUUUUUAUGUGUGUAUGUGUGAGUUAGAACUUCUGGGAACUCAUCUUCAAACCCCAAAUAGAUAUAAAAAAGCACACCACGGAUGCUAUAGUGCUUCUCAUUGUAAUGAAAAAUAUUGCUUGUAACUCAGCAUUAUAUUCUCUAAGUAAAUUGGGUAAAGAAGACGAUGCCCAGCUCUGUGAGUGAUUCAGCUGGUGGGAAC